rnacentral:rRNA from 1 species
GACGAACGCUGGCGGCGUGCUUAACACAUGCAAGUCGAGCGGUAAGGCCCUUUCGGGGGUACACGAGCGGCGAACGGGUGAGUAACACGUGGGUGACCUGCCCUCAGCUCUGGGAUAAGCCUGGGAAACUGGGUCUAAUACUGGAUAUGACUCCACGGUGCAUGUCGUGGGGUGGAAAGCCUUGUGCGGCUGAGGAUGGGCCCGCGGCCUAUCAGCUUGUUGGUGGGGUGANGGCCUACCAAGGCGACGACGGGUAGCCGGCCUGAGAGGGCGACCGGCCACACUGGGACUGAGACACGGCCCAGACUCCUACGGGAGGCAGCAGUGGGGAAUUGUUCGCAAUGGGCGCAAGCCUGACGACGCAACGCCGCGUGGAGGAUGAAGACUUUC